UCCCUGCUGGGAUAGCUCAGUUGGUAGCGCACAAGACUUUUAAGCUCAGGGUUGUGGGUUCAAGUCUCACCUCGGAUGAA